rnacentral:rRNA from 1 species
GACGAACGCUGGCGGCGUGCUUAACACAUGCAAGUCGAACGGAAAGGCCCGGCUUUUGUGGGGUGCUCGAGUGGCGAACGGGUGAGUAACACGUGAGUCACCUGCCCUUGACUUUGCGAUCACUUCAGGAAACUUGGGCUAAUACCUGUUAGGAGCUCCUGCUGCAUGGUGUGGGUUGGAAAGUUUCGGCGGUUGGGGUUGUACUCGCGGCUUAGCGGCCUGUUGGUGGGGUAGUGGCUUACGAAGGCUGUGACGGGUAGCCGGCCUGAGAGGGUGACCGGCGACAUGGGGACGGAGAUACGGGGCAGAAGCCUAGGGGAAGCAGCAGUGGGGAAUAUUGCACAGUGGGCGGAAGCCUGAUGCAGCAACGCCGCGUGCGGGAUGACGGCCUUCGGGUUGUAAACCGCUUGCGCCUGUGACGAAGCGGGAGUGACGGUAAUGGGUAAAGAAGCACCGGCUAACUACGUG